rnacentral:rRNA from 1 species
UUCAGCGCACAGCUCAGUAGCACGUGGCUAACCUGCCCUUGGGACGGAGGCACCCCCGGGAAACUGGGGCUAAUCUCCGAUAGGUGAAGACUUCUGGAAUGGGUUUUUGCCUAAAGGGCGCUUAGGGCAUGCUUCUAAGCGUUGCCCAAGGAUGGGGCCGCGGCCGAUCAGGUUGUUGGUGAGGUAACGGCUCACCAAGCCUUUAACCGGUGCGGGCCGUGGGAGCGGAAGCCCGGAGAUGGGCACUGAGACAAGGGCCCAGGCCCUACGGGGCGCAGCAGUCGCGAAAACUUCGCAAUAAGCGAAAGCUUGACGGGGCUAUCCCGAGUGCCAUCCGCUGAGGACGGCUUUUCCCAGUAUAGAUAGCUGGGGGAAUAAGGAGAGGGCAAGUCUGGUGUCAGCCACCGCGGUAAUACCAGCUCUCCGAGUGGUGUGGAUGAUUAUUGGGCCUAAAGCAUCCGUAGCCGGCUGGGUAAGUCCCCUGUUAAACCCAGCGAUUCAAUCGUUGGUCUGCGGGGGAUACUGCUCGGCUAGGGGGCGAGAGAGGUCGUCGGUAUUCCCGGGGUAGGGGUGAAAUCCUAUAAUCCCAGGAGGACCACCAGUGGCGAAGGCUGUCGGCUAGAACGCGCUCGACGGUGAGGGAUGAAAGCUGGGGGAGCGAACCGGAUUAGAUACCCGGGUAGUCCCAGCUGUAAACGAUGCAGGCUAGGUGUUAGGGCGGCUACGUGCCGCUCUAGUGCCGCAGGGAAGCUGUUAAGNUGCCGCUUGGGGAAACGCCGGCAAGGCUGAACUUAAAGGCCA